UGUACGAUACGAGUUUGAUCAUGGCUCAGGAUGAACGCUAGCGGCAGGCCUAAUACAUGCAAGUCGAACGGAUAUAUGUUUUUCGGAAUAUAUAUUAGUGGCGCACGGGUGAGUAACACGUACAUAACUUGCCCUCAAGCGGGGGAUAGCCUUGGGAAACUGAGAGUAAUACCCCAUAGAAUUAUUGGACGGCAUCGUUUGAUAAUUAAAACUACGGUGCUUGGGGAUAGAUGUGCGUCUGAUUAGCUAGUUGGUGAGGUAACUGCUCACCAAGGCGACGAUCAGUAGGGGGCGUGAGAGCGUGGCCCCCCACACGGAUACUGAGACACGGACCCGACUCCUACGGGAGGCAGCAGUAAGGAAUAUUGGUCAAUGGAGGGAACUCUGAACCAGCCAUGCCGCGUGAAGGAUGACGGCCCUCUGGGUUGUAAACUUCUUUUGGAUGGGGCGAAAAAACGGGAUUUAUCCUGGACUGACGGUACCAUCAGAAUAAGCACCGGCUAACUCCGUG
rnacentral:rRNA from 1 species